UUUCCGUAGGUGAACCUGCGGAAGGAUCAUUAUCAAGUUUUGACAGGGUUGUAGCUCGUCGUCCGAGGCAUGUGUUCGUUCUGCUCCUCCACUCUACACCUGUGCACUUACUGUGGGUAUCAGAUCGUUAGGCGUGCUCUUUUACCCGAGCUUGUGAAGCGUGUCUGUGCCUGCGUGUAUUACAAACACUAUAAAGUAUCAGAAUGUGUAUUACUAUGUAACGCAUCUAUAUACAACUUUCAGCAACGGAUCUCUUGGCUCUC
rnacentral:misc_RNA from 1 species